CUCCCCCACACUGGGCCCCGUCAGCCCAAGGGUUCCUUCGUCGCUUAGCUUCGCGUCGGCCCGGCCCGGCCCGGCCAGCGGGCAGAUGCUCCGAGCUGCCGCUGCCGACGCCGCCGACUCGGCCGGUGGCGGUGUGGGAGGCGGGCGUCCGGCCCCGGGCCGCUGAGUGUGACGGACGGGGCCGGGGGCCGCCGGGCGCCGCGGCGUCGGCGGCUCCGCGCGGACCAUGUAUUUCCUGAGCGGCUGGCCCAAGAGGCUGCUGUGCCCUCUGGGGAGCCCGGCCGAGGCGCCUAUCCACGUUCAGUCCGACCCCCAGAGGACUUUCUUCGCCGUGCUGGCCCCGGUCCGCCUCAGCAUCUGGUACAGCCGCCCUAGUGUGUUAAUUGUAACCUACAAGGAACCUGAAAAAUCAUCUUCUCAGUUUGGAUUCUACAAACAAGCUGAAUGGAGGCCAGAUAGUACCAUGAUAGCUGUGUCAACUGCAUAUGGCUACAUCUUGUUUUUUCAUAUUACAUCUACAAGAGGGGACAAGUACCUUUAUGAACCAGUGUAUCCCAAAGGAAGUCCACAAAUGAAGGGGACACCCCAUUUUAAGGAAGAACAGUGUGCUCCAGCAUUAAAUUUAGAAAUGAAGAAAAUAUUGGAUUUGCAAGCACCCAUCAUGAGUUUGCAGUCCAUGCUGGAGGAUCUCCUCGUUGCUACUUCUGAUGGACUUCUUCAUCUUAUUCACUGGGAAGGAAUGACAAACGGAAGGAAAGCUAUUAAUCUUUGCACAGUACCCUUUUCAGUAGAUCUGCAGUCGUCUAGAGCAGGUUCAUUCCUGGGUUUUGCAGAUGUGCACAUCAGAGACAUGGAAUACUGUGCCACACUUGAUGGAUUUGCUGUUGUGUUUAACGAUGGUAAAAUUGGAUUUAUUACUCCAGUGUCAAGUAGAUUUACUGCAGAGCAGCUCCAUGGAGUUUGGCCACAAGAUGUUGUUGACGGAACUUGUGUAGCAGUAAAUAACAAGUACCGACUCAUGGCGUUUGGUUGUGCAAGUGGUUCUGUACAGGUUUAUACAAUAGAUAACACCACUGGAGCUAUGCUGCUGUCUCAUAAACUAGAGCUAACAGCAAAACAAUAUCCCGAUAUUUGGAACAAAACAGGAGCUGUUAAAUUGGUCAGAUGGUCUCCUGACAAUAGUGUUGUAAUAGUGACCUGGGAAAAUGGAGGCCUAUCUUUAUGGAGUGUGUUUGGAGCCCAGCUGAUUUGUACACUUGGAGGAGACUUUGCUUAUAGGUCUGAUGGUACCAAAAAAGAUCCCCUUAAGAUCAACUCUAUGAGCUGGGGUGCAGAAGGCUAUCACCUCUGGGUAAUCAGCGGAUUUGGUGCUCAAAGUACUGAAAUUGAGUCUGACUCCAAGAGUAUAGUUAAACAGCCUGGCAUUCUGCUAUUUCAGUUCAUCAAGAGUGUACUCACUGUAAACCCUUGUAUGAGUAACCAGGAGCAAGUGCUGCUUCAGGGGGAGGAUCGAUUGUACUUGAACUGUGGAGAGGCCUCACAAACCCAGCACGCCAGGGGUUCCUCGGCGCACCCUGAGCAUAAGGCUGCUGGGGCCAAGAGCCCCUUUGCAGAUAGCGGUGUAGAGUCUCAGGGUUUAAGCACUUUGCUUGGACAUCGGCAUUGGCAUGUGGUGCAGAUUUCCAACACCUAUCUAGAGAGCAAUUGGCCUAUACGGUUUUCAGCUAUUGAUAAGCUUGGACAGAAUAUUGCUGUGGUUGGCAAGUUUGGUUUUGCACAUUACUCUUUACUCACCAAAAAAUGGAAACUUUUUGGAAACAUCACCCAGGAGCAAAAUAUGAUUGUGACUGGUGGCUUAGCCUGGUGGAAUGAUUUUGUUGUCCUGGCAUGUUAUAACAUAAGUGACCAUCAAGAAGAGCUCAGAGUUUAUUUGCGAACAUCAAAUCUGGACAAUGCCUUUGCUCACAUCACCAAAGCACAAGCAGAAACAUUACUGCUCAGUGUCUUCCGGGACAUGGUAAUAGUAUUUAGAGCCGACUGUUCAAUAUGCCUUUACAGUAUUGAAAGAAAAUCUGAUGGUCCCACCACUACAGCUGGUAUUCAGGUUCUUCAAGAAGUCUCCAUGUCGCGCUACAUUCCUCACCCUUUCCUUGUGGUGUCUGUCACUCUGACAUCAGUGAGCACAGAGAAUGGGAUCACCCUGAAAAUGCCACAGCAGGCUCGCGAUGCAGAGAGCAUUAUGCUAAAUCUCGCAGGACAGCUCAUCAUGAUGCAGAGGGACAGAUCGGGGCCUCAGAUCCGGGAGAAGGACAGUCACCCUAACCAAAGGAAGCUUCUGCCAUUCUGUCCUCCCGUUGUACUGGCCCAGUCCGUUGAAAAUGUCUGGACCACGUGCCGAGCAAAUAAACAAAAACGUCACCUUCUGGAGGCCCUGUGGCUGAGCUGUGGAGGUGCAGGGAUGAAAGUUUGGCUCCCUCUCUUCCCCAGGGAUCACCGCAAGCCCCAUUCCUUCUUGUCCCAGCGGAUCAUGCUGCCUUUCCACAUCAAUAUUUACCCCCUGGCUGUUCUGUUUGAAGACGCGUUAGUCCUUGGUGCUGUCAAUGACACUUUGCUCUAUGAUGCUUUGUACACGCGGAACAGUGCUCGGGAACAGCUGGAGGUGCUCUUCCCUUACUGUGUCGUGGAGAGGACCUCCCAGAUCUACCUCCACCACAUUCUGCGUCAGCUGCUGGUCAGGAACCUUGGGGAGCAGGCCUUGCUCUUGGCCCAGUCCUGCGCUGCAUUACCUUACUUCCCUCACGUGCUGGAGCUCAUGCUCCACGAAGUGCUGGAGGAAGAAGCUACCUCACGGGAACCCAUUCCCGACCCUCUGCUUCCCACUGUGGCAAAAUUCAUCACCGAGUUCCCCCUCUUCCUGCAGACGGUUGUUCAUUGUGCCAGGAAGACUGAAUAUGCCCUGUGGAAUUACCUUUUUGCAGCCGUUGGAAACCCCAAGGACUUGUUUGAGGAAUGCUUGAUGGCUCAGGACUUGGACACAGCUGCCUCUUACCUUAUUAUCUUACAGAAUAUGGAAGUUCCGGCAGUAAGUAGGCAACAUGCUACCCUUCUGUUCAACACAGCCCUGGAACAAGGCAAGUGGGACCUAUGUCGACACAUGAUUCGAUUCCUUAAAGCCAUUGGCUCUGGAGAAUCUGAGACCCCUCCAUCCACACCUACAGCUCAGGAACCCAGUUCAAGUGGUGGAUUUGAGUUCUUCAGGAAUCGAAGCAUCAGUUUGUCCCAGUCAGCUGAGAAUGUUCCUGCUAGUAAAUUCAGCUUACAGAAAACACUGAGUAUGCCAUCCGGCCCUUCUGGGAAAAGAUGGAGCAAAGACAGUGACUGUGCUGAGAACAUGUACAUUGAUAUGAUGCUCUGGAGACAUGCCCGGCGUCUCUUAGAAGAAGUUCGGCUGAAGGACCUCGGCUGCUUUGCAGCCCAGCUGGGCUUUGAACUCAUCAGUUGGCUGUGCAAGGAGCGCACCCGAGCCGCGCGGGUGGACAACUUUGUGCUGGCCCUGAAGAGACUCCACAAAGACUUCCUGUGGCCACUUCCCAUCACCCCAGCCUCUUCUGUCAGCUCUCCUUUCAAGAAUGGAAAAUACCGAACAGGAGAGCAGCUGCUGAAGUCUCAGUCAGCGGACCCUUUUCUAAACCUCGAGAUGGACGCUGGGGUCUCUACUGUACAGCGAAGUCAGAGCUGGCUCGGCAGCAUCGGCCCCGCCCACCAUGAGAUAGACACGGCCUCAUCCCAUGGACCACAAAUGCAAGACGCCUUCCUGUCACCUUUAUCUACUAAAGGUGAUGAAUGCAGUAUUGGUUCAGCCACAGAUUUGACGGAAAGUAGCUCCAUGGUGGACGGAGACUGGACAAUGGUGGAUGAAAACUUCUCCACACUCAGUUUAACUCAGUCGGAGCUGGAGCACAUCUCCAUGGAGUUGGCCAGUAAGGGGCCUCAUAAAUCCCAGGUCCAGCUUCGGUACUUGCUGCACAUGUUCAUGGAGGCAGGGUGUCUAGACUGGUGCAUCGUCAUAGGCCUGAUUCUCCGAGAAUCCUCAGUAAUCAGCCAGAUCCUGCUGCUCAUCCAGUCUUCGGAGGUGGAUGGAGAGAUGUUACAGAACAUAAAGACAGGGCUACACGCGGUAGACCGAUGGGCCUCUACGGAUUGUCCUGGAUAUAAGCCAUUCUUAAACAUCAUUAAGCCACAAGUACAGAAGUUCAGUGAGCUGACAGAGGAGCAGGUCCAGCCUGAAGCCUUCCAGCCAAUAACUGCGGGUAAGACUCCUGAACACACUGGGCCCCGGGCAGAGGAAAGCCGGGGCCCCUCGGGCCAUGGAAGCCUCCCCCAGGGCGAGGUCGGAGGCAGCGGUCUGGUCAGCAGGAACGAGGAGGACGCAGCCCGAGCAGAGGAGGAGGAAUCCUUUCAAGACGGGACUUACGACUGUUCUGUGUCCUAACGGCAGCGGCGUGCCAUCACCACGGGCAGUGUUAACUUGCAGCGGCAUGUGCAACUGAGGAAACUGGCCUAGCUGGACGAUUUAACCAGGGAGAGAACUCAGAGACUCUGAUUUCAAUGCGCUUCCAUUUAAGCAUCCCAGAAUGUUGUACUGUGGAUAUGGGCAAACUAAUACGUGGAAAGACCGAAGACAAGCAGUAUAUCGCAGAAGAACAAAGUCUGACAGGAUGGAUACCACCCACCUUCGAGACUUGAUCAAGACAGCAUCGUGAUGGCAAAAGACACAAACAGUCAUGGUCCUUUAACAUGUGGCUCCUCAGCACGGUGUCAAAUACCCUGCCAAGUCCUGGUGCAGAGUCUCUCGGGACAAGAUACAACCUCCCCACCACAUGCUGUGCUUCCUGCCACCUCCACCCAGCUCCUACCCACAGCUGUCCUCAAACCUCCAUGGAGGCUACAGUCUGUACAUCCAUUCCCUCUUCUCCAAACCGUGAGGCUCAUCUUCUGCCCUGUCCCGCAUUUUCUGGACGCGGUUUGGUAACGGGGGUGAGUGAAAUGCAGUCCCAGAGCAGAAGAGGAGGAGGGGGGCCUGUGUUUGCAUCCCGCUCUCUUAAAUUUCACUUUUAUUUCUGCCUUAAAUGUCCCAUCUUCCAUCACUCUAGGUUCUGAAAUGGGUGCAAAAUAAAACGAAGAGAAGCGCGGGAAGGGUCUGCGCGGCGUGCGCACGUGUGACCUGUCUCGUUCCUCGUGAGGGUCCUGAUGUCACUGAGCACCACCCGGGACACCUGCUACCCCACUGCCAGACAGGAGAGUGCCUGCUUCCUGGCAAAUAUACUAUAAACCCCCAAGGACUGAAAGGAACGCUUUCUGAAAUCCGCAUUCCGAUUCAGUUCUCCACGAUCCGAGGAGUGCAGGCCGCCUCUGCCUCAGCCACUGCGACCGCUACACGUCAACAUGGAAUCAUGACUGACGCCACCAGUGUCCAAGAGCCACGCGGCCGCUUCACGUGAUGAUGAAAACUAAACGAGGUUUCCGGGUAUUCCAGCAGGCGUUCUCCUGAGGUUUUCCUAGUAAAAUCUAACCUAGCAGGUGAUAUACUUUAAUCCUCUCCCUAUGCUUGCUAAGAUUUCCUCACUUUGGAGUCAUUUUCAGUCUCCACAGUGAAGAUUUCAGGGUUUAUUUUGUCCAGUUCCACGUGGGACAGAACUGAAAUGCCCCAUAUUUUGAUCAUCUCCUAUGAGCCUUCAUCCACUGGCCCUGAUUUAAAUACACUGGGGACCCAGUUUCCAACUGAGCUGAUUCUGGAUCAGAACCUCAUCUGCGUAUGAUGAAACCCCACCAACUCCGUUCACCUUCACAGCAGCAAAACCAUCCACUAACACGUACAGAGAAUUUAAAGGCUUAAUAUUAAAACCAAAGGAAGUAAACCCUGCAAACCACAAAGAACAGUUUAGAAUUUUCCAUCCAUCCACCCCCCGAAAAUGCCAGUAAGGACGUGAUGAUUGUAUUACAGGCACAAUGGCUGGAACACUCAAACUUCUUUCAGCUGAGCGCAAGCAACAGUGUGCAGAAGAAGCACUCUCCUGGGCUAGAUGCACAGGCUAGAUGCGUACAACUCUUUACGGCCUCCUGAAGAGACUUCCGUGGAUGGUGCGGGCCACGCACGUGGUAUUCUUACGUGCUCUCAAUCCUGACCUCCAUGAGAUGUCCUUUACUGAAUGGGUGUGGAAAGGCCCACCGUCAUCUCCGUGGAGGAAAGCACUAUAAUAAAGUCACAACUACUCUUCUGUGUGGUCCCCUAGCUGCAAAUCCUGCAGUGUGCCUAUGGGCGUUCAGUAGUUGCUUCCUAUUCUUCCCAAUUCCAAUGGAAAGAGCCACAACACAGACGCCUGACUCCACCAGCGGGGCCAGACCGGAGUCCUGGAGAGUACGGACGCCGUGCCGAGGGCAGAGCUUGCCCAGAGCCCGCUCUAACACAGGGGGGUCCGCGUGGGGUCUGCCUUCUCUCUGGACAGCUGCAGGGAGGGCAAAGGCAGGACUGUCCCUGUAAGGGCAGAACGCCGACACCAGAAUGACAAGGCCUGUGACGCUCUGCAUCAUACGUGUCCGCCACCCGAGGAGAGGGGCUCUGUCACGAACUCUGCGGCCCCAGCAGCCAGGAGGCUGAACGGUAACGGAAGGAGCCUCAUCAGAACCAGUCUUCCUCCGCCAGCUCUAAAAACACUAAUAAUACCACCACGUAUCUAUUAACCUUUGCCUCCAAUUAGGAAUCGUUCCAAAGAUCCACCACCAAGCAAUCUCUACCAGUUCUCACCUGGUGUGCGUUCUCCAAAUUCACGUUCAGCUGGUUUGAAGGCUGUGAGGAGAGGUACGACCAGAGGACUCGGGAGGACCAGGACGCAAAACUAAAACCCCAUUUCCCAUCUUCUUACCACACCAAACCUACUUUCUGCACACACGUGACUGUUUCUUUUGCUUAAGUGUUUCCAAGUAUAAGCAACACAAUUUCACAGAAUCGACUGUGGCUAAACUCCUCACAUAUUCAUAUAAAGCAUACAGGAAGAACUAUUUUUUAAAUGUCAUUUCCUUACAAAAUAGGAAGACAGGAUCAUCGUACAACCAGCCAAAAUGGAAGCCAGCACAACGUCAGGUGGGAUUUCUGUACCGCUCCUCCCAAGGAUGGGGGUAAACAUCUCGAACACUGCCCAGAUGAGGUACAGUGCGUAAAGAUAAGGAACAAACAUCCCCGAGAGGUACAAGGCAAUAAAUUUUCCUUGGGCACCUAGGGAAAAAGAGAAAGGAAUCACACAUCUUUGAAAUUCCACAGCGAGACACAGAUUUGCAUAGCACUGCUGUACCUCACACAGAACAUUUCACUCAGGGACGUUAAAAUACAAGUAAGAAUGAAAUGGAACGUAGGUAAUACAUCAUGCAUUCAUAAAUGUGAGAAUGGGAUGGGGUAUAAGGUAGAAAAUAAACAUCCGUGUGAUCUGAAAAUUUAAAAAAAACAAACAAAAAAACCCAAAACACAACACAGCAAGAAUCUUGAAACCCUAGCCCAAAAGACCAAAAAAAGAAACAAUUCCCGCAAGUCCUGUCUUAUUCAUUUUAAGGUAUUUUCCCAUUUGCAUAAAAACC